CCAGGCCUAAGGAGGGGUGGGUGUGGUGCAGCGCCCAGCCUACCCGGAGGUUUUAAAGACCUGAGGGAGCCGUGGGUGAGGGCGACGGGAGGGGCUCUGCAUGGAGGCUGGCAACUCCCAGGGCUGCUCUUCAGUACAGGUCCACACCUGUCCUGUUGGCAUACUGCGAGAAGAGCGCCUACAAGCAUGUCGCUUGACCAUGGGGACACAGCCCACCCUUACUCCCAUACUUAAACCUCAUUCAGGAAACCGGGAACUUCCCCCCAAAUCAAGGGUGAAAAAGAGGCUUCUGGAAUGUAAGGACAAGAAUGAUGGUAAGAGGGGAGAAAAAUCGCCACCUGGAAAUCCUAUACUCCACACGUGAAGGCAGGUACAAGGCAAGAAAAGGCAAGAUACCCUUUCUGCGUGUGAAUAUGGUGAUAAAAUGUCUCCAUGCUGUUUCUCAGGAUCCACAGAAAAUGACUUAUGCAGCCACACUUCGAAUUUCUGCAAAUCCUUUGUAUGAAGGCAGUAUGCAGGGCUGUGUUGGAAUAACUGGAGUGGACAUUUAAUGACAACCAAACCUGCACUGGCAAGCAUGAAACCCUUACUGUGGCUCAGGGACCUGUCUGUGAACCCAGGUGAAGUUCUGGCUCAGUUAAAAGGUAACGUGAUCCAAGUUUCAAGCAAAAUGGAAUUGUCAUGGUCAGAAGCAGAUCGAUAGGGCAAAUCAUAUGAAAUCAAAAAGCCAUCAAAAGCCAUCUGCAAAGUUUCUUCUAUUUAUGUCUAGUGUUCUAGUCACCUAUUGCUGCAUAUCAAACCACCUGAAACUCUGGUAGGUUACAACAACCACUUUAUUAUUAUCUCAUAGCUUUUGUGGAUCAGGAAUUCAGGCUGGGCACCAACUAUGGUUGCCUGGAGGUACUCAGCUGGCAUAUGAGCUUGUCUGAAGGGUCUGAGAUGGCUUCACACACAUGGCAGGCUCAUGGGUGGACAUGGCUGCAAGACUGGGCUCAGCAGGGACUGUUGAUCAGAGAACUAAGUCUCCAGUGAACAAAGUGGAAGCUACAUGGUUUUUGAUGACCUAGAGUAAGAGGAACAAAAUAUGACUUCUGCCAUACUACUUAUCAAAGCAGUCACAAGCAUACUUAGAUUCUAGGGGAAAGGACUUGGGCCCAAUCCCUCAAUGGCUGAGUGUUUAAAAGUACAACAUCCAGCCUGGGUUAGAAGCCAAGAAGGGGAGUCAGGGCCUGCAGGCUUUCUCUAAAUCUGAGAUUAUAGCUGCAGCUGCUUUGCCAGGGGUUUUGUGACCUUGGGCGGGGAAGAAACCAGGAAAUGAGGGAUCUGGCAGGGCUAAAAUCCCUGCUUGCCUGACAGUGCUCCCUGCUUCUGUUUUGCAUGGCUGGCACACAGCACUGCAGUCAUGACUGAAGGGCUGAGUGAAGGCUCUCACCUGCUCAAGAUGCUGGUCCCUGAGAGCUGAGAAAGAGGGAGGAGGCCAGAGUGGAAGGGUUUGGCUGAUUUGAGCAAUGCGCAAAUUGAGCAAGGAUCAAAAGCCUGAGAGAUAGUGCCUGUUGUUGCUCAUCACAUAGAAGUUCUGCAGCAAAAGAAAAAAAAAAAGAUCUGCAGCUGACCUUAGGCUCAAUGGGACAGUCUCACCUCCCAAAGUGUCUGCAUCUCCCAAGGCAAGGCCACCCUUGCCUGGGCCACCCAAUUCUGAUGUCCAAUCCUGGAGAAAAGUCCAAGUAACAGUUUCUUACACAUCUAUGGAUGGGUGCCUAGCACAGGCGUGUCCUCAGAGGAGGCCACCAAAAAAAUACACUCAUCAAUUUUAUGUUUGUGUUCUUCUUUCUUUUGUCAUUUACUGCAUUAGAAUUAGAAACUUAGAAAUAGAUUGCAGUGGGAGGUUGGUCAUGAAAGGAAGGGAAAGAAAGGCAUCUAUUGUUGCCAAAAACAACUUCCUGGCGUUGAACUGUGGCCCAGCCUAGCAUCUGGGAGUAGAACGGUCCAAUCCCAUAGAGAUCCACUCAGCCAUGAUCCCUUUACUCAAAGUGAAUUUGAAAUGUUUGAUAUGAUCCCAGUUGAACUAAUUAUUUCCCUCCAUAUUUGCACAGAUUUAAUCAAAUGAUGGAUGGAUAGACUUAUAUGUCCUAGGCACUUUCAUGUAUACUAAUCCAUCAGUCCUUACAAAAACUCCAAGACAUACAUGCACUCAUCCGUAUUUUACCACAGAAGAAACGGAGUGAACCAAAUGAACACCCAGAUUUGUCUUUUUCCCAAGCCCCUUUCUAUUUUCGCUCUGGCUCUGGGGUGACUCUACAUCACCAGUCACUCCAUCCCAUGGGCUAGAACGUAGGCCAGCAAUGUGGACCCCUCCCUCUCCCCAUGUCUGUCAGUAGGAAGGCCCCAAAUGGUCUCCAUUCUCAGUGCUUUUUCAUGAACACUGUUCUUACUCUCUGAUAACAAACUCAUUCUUGCAUCUUUCAUCCUUCGUCACUCGGGCUAUUGUGCCAGCCUCCUGGCCAGUCUGUCUGUCUCAACUCCCCUGUUCUCUGUCCAUCCUCCAUACUAUAACCAGAAAGCUGAAACACAGAUCUGAUCAUAUAAGCCUUUGCCCAUAAAUUUUCAAUCUUUCUCCACAACCUACAGAAUAAAUGACUAAUCCUGGAGCCUGAUGUUCA
ensembl:lncRNA